GUGGCAUACGGCUCAGUAACACGUAGUCAACAUGCCCAGGGGACGUGGAUAACCUCGGGAAACUGAGGAUAAACCGCGAUAGGUCACUACUUCUGGAAUGGGUAAUGACCCAAACCUAUAUGGCCCCUGGAUUGGACUGCGGCCGAUCAGGCUGUUGGUGAGGUAAUGGCCCACCAAACCUGUAACCGGUACGGGCUCUGAGAGGAGGAGCCCGGAGAUGGGCACUGAGACAAGGGCCCAGGCCCUAUGGGGCGCAGCAGGCGCGAAACCUCUGCAAUAGGCGAAAGCUUGACAGGGUUACUCUGAGUGAUGCCCGCUAAGGGUAUCUUUUGGCACCUCUAAAAAUGGUGCAGAAUAAGGGGUGGGCAAGUCUGGUGUCAGCCGCCGCGGUAAUACCAGCACCCCGAG
rnacentral:rRNA from 1 species